GCGGGUGUGGCGGAAUGGCAGACGCGGCAGACUCAAAAUCUGCUUCCCGUAAGGGAGUGGGGGUUCAAGUCCCUUCACCCGCA
rnacentral:tRNA from 1 species